GCAUCUGUCUGACUGCUCACGCCUCUCCUUUUUAGCACACUAAAUGUGCUUGAUAUUUUGGUGGAGAAUAAAAUGCAAGUGAAGUCUGUCUCAAAAUAGAGAAUAAAAUGUGCCCUUAGAAGCAACUUUUAUACGGACAAAACAGGCGAAAUGCUAACUUCAUCUAUGGUCAAAUAGAGAUGGAGAGUUCUCUUACCGUGGCUCUUCACAGAGUAGGGCUGGUACUGAGGGGCCUUCACCAUCUUCUUCACAACAUAGCCCUUCCCGUGGGCUGCUGCCGAUGCCACCAUGAAGAGGAGCAUGCACGCUACUCUUACGUCCAUCUUGUUGAGUGAAACCUGCAGGAGGAAAGGAGGAGAUGGUCAGCACAACCACUGCAAAGGAAAGGAACACAGUCAUCCAGUCUGCACUCAUUGGGGGAAGAUACAAGCUGCUGCAGAUUUUCAGUCUCCCCCAGUUCUACGUACAGCCUCAGGAGGGCGCAGUCCACUUCCUUACUGCACUCCAGGCACUGCUCCGUCCCCCUGACUGCUCUGAGAAAGUCUCCCAGGAAGAGCAGAGUAAGAGCUCCUAGAGUCACUCUGACCCCUUCAUGAUGAGAUCACUUCUCCCUGCCGCAGUCGGUGCACAAGAUGUUGUCGCGCUGGGUUAGGAAGCCACGUCCCACCAGAGACACGGAGCACUGCAUGCAGAAUUGUGAUGUUUUCAUUUAACUGCGACCAAAAAGAAACAAAGCAGCAAGCAAACUGCGUUCACAGAAGACUUUUAGACGAUGAAAGAAGAAAUCCGUCUAAGAAUUUCUGCACGCAGAACGAAAAGGAAUGUGUCCUGGCAAUUGCCCUUUUACGCUGAUGGGAACUUCAAGGUUUAUCAGCAGAAUGACUGUUUAGCCAACCUCUGGCCCACCUUCAUCUACUAUGCUCUCCUCUGUCUGGGUGUGGGGCUGUGGAUCGGGUUUGCUUGGCUCUUGUCUCACCUCCACUGUUGCGCUCCGUGUCUUCUCCUGCCUUUAAUGCUUUGGAUGUACUCCGAGCCGAUGCACAAAGCUCUGCAGUGGGGGAAGAGGAGUCUUCAGGACAGAGCUGCAAAGAUAGCCAUGCUGACUGGAAUGGAAGGAAUUAAUGACAAAUAAAAAACUCUGUUUACUUUGGCA